rnacentral:lncRNA from 1 species
GGCAUUUUCCCCGCUCCUCUGGCCGCCGAAGGAGUCCUGUGGUGCCGGGCAGGAAUGGGCUGCUUGGGGACCCAACGAGCUCCCAGAGCCUUUCCUGCUGCUUCCUCUACCCCUGUGUUUCGCUAGGCUCUCGAGAUGGACUCAGUUCCAGAUUGCCCAGCCUCACAUAUUCCUUCAUAGCAACACAAAGGGACUGAGACAAUAUAUAAGUUAACAUCUGCCAUGUAGUGGAGGUUCCAGAGAAAAAGUGAGAGAAGCUGAGUCUGCACCCUCAACAUGGAGGAAAUAAGCUCUCUUAGGACCAAGAACAGAGGACAGAGGAAGGACUCCAGCAUGAUGGGCACCAAGGGAUUUUGGUCCUUCUGAGAAAGAGGAGAGACAGGGUCUUCCUCUUUGCCUAAGCUGGAGCGCAUUGGUGUGAUCAUCGCUCACUGCUGCCUCAAACUCCUGGGCUCAUGCGACCCUCCCACCUCAGCCUCCUGACUAGUUGGGACUACAGAAUUGGUUCCUUCCAGUGAGUUCUUGGUCUCGCUGACUUCAAGAAUGAAGCCACAGACCUGUGCGAUGAGUGUUACAGCUCUUAAAGAUGGUGUGUCCAGAGUUUGUUCCUUCAGAUGUUCAGAUGUGUCCGGAGUUUCUUCCUUCUGGUGGGUUUGUCCUCUCGCUAACUUCCAAGAAUGAAGCCGUGGACGUUCACAGCAAUCUACUCAUUUGAAUUUUUCUCCAAAUGCAUUGAGCUGAAUGGAAAAAAACAAACUUUAUUGGUAACACCCUGAAAUCCACUCUUGGAAAUCUUGAUUGCACCUAAUUCCAAAUCUGUCACUAUAGUUGGGGAUUCAACUGAAAUCCAUUUUCUUCUUUAUAAAGACAAUAACAAGGUCAAGAUCUAAGCAAACACACAAAUGUGAACAACAGGGAAAGAACCCAUUGACCUACCAAGACAGGCUGCCAACAGAAUUUUGAAGGCUUGCCAAGAUGCUUUUAUGGAGGUAGAGUGAAUGAGAUUCCGUAAGUGCAAAAUAAUCCUUUUAAGACUACCCAGAAAGUAAUAUAAGUGAACUAGUUAUAUAAGAUUCAGUGAGGACUACCAAAACAUUGGGAAGAAAUGUGGAUUUUAUCAUUCAAGGAAAUAUAAUUUUAUUGUAAGAUAUAAUCUUUGUUUUUGUAGUCAAAUAGAAACAUUCAUGCCUUAAUACAACGUUUGGUAAAAAGAACUGAAGAAGACACCAUAGAAGAUUUUAACAAACAAUGAACUCAUUAGCUAAAAGAUUUGUCAUGAAAUAAUGAUUGAUUUAGUUGUUUUCUAAAAUAUUUCUAGUGCCUAUUAGAUGUUGAAGGAGACUUUGAUCAUGAAGUGUGUUCUCUGAGGAGCUGCUAUUUUUAUUUUUAUAUUUGUUUGAAGUGAAUUGUCCUGCUAAUUCUUUAACAUAAAAUAUCUUCAAUUACAUGAUUCAACAUUUUAAAAAGUGAUUAAGACAGAAGAAUAUGUGCUGGGAUUUAUUUUUGGAUCUUUGAAGUAGCAAAGAGUAGCAGAACUCCUUAAUCCAUAGAGUGGUUAUUUUGCUGUAUGAUGACUCUUGUAUUUACUCCCUGAAUUACCCUUUCCACUAAAAAGUAUUAAUGAGACAUUAGUAGGCUAUAGAAAAAAAUACUUCUGAUCUACUUAGAAAUAUUCAUGAGGUUUUCUCCUGGUGGAUUCACAUCAAAUUUUAUUUUUUAAAACCCCAAGUAUUUUUAUUUGAUGAUUAAUAAGUAAGAUGGAGGCUGGUAGGUGGAAAUCGCCAGCAGGAAAAUAAAAUGCUUUGGCUAAGCCGACAACUGCUACUGUCCUCCUCUGUACAGACUCUCCUGCUGAAGACUCACGGAGGCUUAUUUCAAGUCUUCUUUAGUUCAUUACCUGCAUGUUCAAAUGGAGCUGGUACUGUGACUCACAGCUUUCUGUCCAAGAAUGCGAUUUGUACCUCUACAAAUCUUCUACACCUUCUUCAUCUAGUAAACACUUACUCUACAGGUCUCAUCUCAAAUCUAUUACUAUAUGCAACUAUAGUACAUAAGCAAGCCAUUUAAAAAUGUUAAAGGAAGAUAUGCAUUGAUAUGGGUUGGCUGUUUUCCCACCCAAAUCUCAUCUUGAAUCGUAGCUCCCAUAAUCCACACGUGUCAUGGGAGGGACCCAAUGGAAGGUAAUUAAAUAAUCGGGGUGGGUUUUUCCCAUGCUGCUCUCAUGAUAGUAAAUAAGUCUCAUGAAAUCUGAUGGUUUCAUAAUAUAAAGGGCAGUUCCCCUGCACAUGCUCUCUUGCCUGCCACCAUGUAAGAUGGGCCUUUGCUCCUCCUUUGCCUUCUGCCAUGAUUGUGAGGCCUCUCCAGCCAUGUGGAACUGUAAGUCCAUUAAAUCUCUUUUUCUUUAUAAAUUACCCAGUCUUGGAUAUCUCUUCAUAGGAGUGUGAAAAUGGACUAAUAGAUACAUAUAGGUACACAUACAUGUAUACAUAAAGCCAUUCCAAAAGACUUUGCUUCCUGAAGUUUGUAAAUGUAAACAAAUUUAUUGUACCAUCAUUUAGGUUACUACGUUGCUCACUAACAUAGAAACAAUAUCUAAAAUGGGUACUUAUAGGGUUAUUAAAAUAUAGUAUGAAUAUGGCUACUGGAAAAAAGUCAAAGAUAUAUUUUGAGGCCACUACUCUACGUCUCUUGAUGUUCUCUUGUACACAUUUGAUAUUGCACAAAAGCCAAAAGUUUGGACUCCUUUGAUUAAAGGCAAGGUCAAGUAAUCCUGCUGGUUCUACCUCUCCUCCCAUUUCUUAAAUGAAAGGAUGUAGUCAUAUAAGGUGCUGUUUAGUAAAAUGGUGCCGUGAAUUCAGCAUGAAAUGUCUGGGCAAGUGUUUUUCAAGUUGUCACAUAUAUACUAUAUUUAUCUUCCUCCUUUUCCCUCCUCAACCUCAGUCCCCAUCACCCAGUGUUUCAUAAGGUUUUACUUUCUGUAGCUUAUACUGUAAAACCAGGAGUUCCCUUCCUCCUCUCCCAAAUAUAACCUUUUCUAAUAAUAUUAAUUGCACUUUCCCUAACUAUACAUACCUCCCUGGAGAUUUUGAACUGUAAUUCUUUCUCUCCUCCAUUUUCCUUGAGCAUUUUUCAUCUAGUGGAAUAUUCGGUGGCAAAGCUCUCAUUCUGGAAGAAGUUUAGCCAUGUAAGCAUAGAAGAAAUAAGCCAACAAUGGUAAACAUAGUUAAUGCAUGUAGUUAAGUCUUCUAAACAUGUCACUUGAAUGAUGUCACAUUUUGCUUUUUCAAACUAGGAAUCAACAAAAUGGAGGAACAUUUGAGGUUUGUUAAGAAAUUUCCCUUCUUAGCCAUAGAACUAAGAUAUUUUUAAAUAAAGAAGAUCAUAGUGGGCCAUAAAUGAUGUGCCUUUCUAGGAUCCCAAAAUGUUUUAUUGAUUGAAUUAUAUAGAGAGAUUUAAUGGAACCGUGGUUGAAAAAUGCUUUUAAAGUCUUUGAUCACUGGGAUAUCAAUGGAACAAAUGGGUUAAAACAUUUUCAGAAUUUAAUCAUUUAUCUAGGUAACAGGGUUGGGGGUAAAUGGCGGGAGAGAAGGGGAGGGCCGGGGCAUUAAUGAAUAGUACUCCAUGUAAAAAGAAGAAUUGACUAGUAACAUCUGUACUAUUUAAAUUAACAGGCUGGCAUAUAUUGUUGUGCAGGUUUUGCAUUGCCCAAUUCUUGGGGGGGGCGGCAUUCACAUUUGUAGUCAUUAUGGGUUCCUCUAUUUAUAAUGCCAAUUUUCUAGCAGAUGUUGGUUUAUUGCCUUGAGAAACUGUUAGAUUCCUCUAAUUUUUGCAAAGAUGGCUUUGGGAAGUUGAAAGAUUACCUGAUUACUAUUAGAGAAUCCUGCUACCAAUACAUACUUGUCUUGUAUAAUUUGGGCAAAAUAUAAUAUUCCUGAAUCUUAGAUUCCUUGUUUGUAAAAUGUUUAAAAUAUAUCUAAAUGUAAGAAUUGUUGUAGCAUAUAUAUGUGAGUACAUGAAUGUGGCCGUCACAGCAGCUGUAAGUGGAAGAUAUUAUAAAUAUUGUUAAAACCUUCUGAUGUUUUAUUUUAAGCUGAUAGUUUUUCUUUAUGCUGACUUUACAGUGAGUUUUAAACAUACACUUGAGUUUAUCAUUUGUAUAUAACUACUGAUAGAAAUCUGAUGAAAAACACUAAUAGUAGUUUAUAAAAGAUUUUUUUCAAUAUGAACUUUUUGUUUCCAUUGUGAGAAAUUAAAUUUCAAAAUGUAAUUAUUAAAUGUAUGCCUGACUUUCAAAUGUUUUUCUAUAUCCAGCUAAUUAAAAAUAUUUAUAACGUAGUAGUAGUUAAAUGUCAUGUUCGCCUUAUUAGAAAGAAUGCCUUCAAAUCAGUAUUAUCAUGAUUACCAUUUAUUUAACAUCUUCAGUAUGCAGGGCAUUUAUAAAAUCUGUAGAAAUUAAUUUUCUCUAAAUGCAACAAGCUUUAUGACCAGCACUCACUGUCUAUAAAAGAUGACUUGCUUGGCAGAAGAGGAAACAGUUUCUUCAGACCUUCCAGCCACAGUCAGCCCUGGUGACAUUGCAUAUCAGCUUCUAAAGGGCCUCGCACAUUCCUUGGCUUGUGAUGUCCCUUCCCCAUCAUCAAAGACAGCAACGAAACUUCAGGCUACCAUACCUGCUUCAACUGUAGGAGAAUCUUAGUUCUGGAGAGUUGACCCUCCAGGCGAAGCAUUAGGCUUUGAUACAAUUUGUCUGGUACCGGCUGUAGAUCUGGUUUGGGCCCCAGACUAUCUUCCCUGUCCUCAAGAAUCAAAACCAACUUGGAAUGACUCCUGGCCCACUCAGCACCUUUCCGGAAGCCAGAAGAAUGAAGUGCCACACAUAUCAUCAGAGAGAAUUCCAAGGAAGAGGGAAUGGUCUAUAGUGUCUCAAGCCACAUUAAUCCUUCAAGAACAGUGUUAACUUUCUCAGGCUACUGGAACUCCACUUUUUGGAACUGUUAUAUUUACUGUUGGGGAGUGACUUUGGCACCAAGGAGAACUUGGCUCAAAUGAAUGGUUUUGGAUCACACAUCUUCAUGAUUUGGGAAUGAUAUGUGUGUUUAUUUUAUGAAAAAUGUUAGUAAUGAAGCAUUUAAAAUAUAUCAAAAGGAAAAUCUCCAAGAGUUGGUGAAUCAUGCUGUUGCCAAUAAUAGGCAUGUGACAUAACUGAACAUUUCAUCAUCUUCAGUAAAUAAUCAAGAUGGUAAGAAUUAUACAGGAUGUAGCAUAGAUUGUUAAAUUUGUGAAAGUAAGUUGUAGGCUAUGUUAGUUAGAAUUAGGUUUGCCUGCUACUGACAGAAAACUCCAAAUAACAACGUCUUAAACAAUAUGGAUGUCUUCUUCUUCAAAUAGAAUCUAAUGUCACCUUUGCAGAGAUGACAUGCUGGGUCUGUGAUCACCAGGGAUCCAAAUGCCUUCGAUCUUGGUGCUGGCUCACAAUCACCAAGUGGCUUCCACCUCACAGUCUGCUGUGGUUGAUUAAACUCCAGCAUCUUAUUGAUGUUCUAGCUGGCAGAAACGAAAAAGAACCCAACAAGGGCAAGGUUGAAUUACAAAGAAAGGAGAAAAUAUCCAUUGGAGGACUACUAUCAACCUCUGCCACAAUUUCUACAUUUUCUCAACGUAUGAAAUUUUAAAGUAUACUACUAAAUUUUAAAAAUUAUUCGUAUUCAUAUUUUCAAUGGUAAAACUAUCGAGCAUUCUGUUGUUUGUGCCAAUUGUUUUACCAAAAAUUUUAGAUACAAGAAGAGACAUUUAUAACACAAGGUGUUUCUAACUGGAAAGUAAGCCCUGGAAAAAUUUAGGAAACAAGAGAGAUGUGAAACGUGCUUUAUGUUAUUGUGAUUUUGAAAUCUAUUUUUUGGAAAAACUAUGCUUAUAAAUAAUUGAAACUUUAAGAGAGGUUGAAGACAGUGGAGCACAAUUAAAUUUUGUGGUUAGAAGGUUGCAUUUCUAAAAAAAAAUGUUUACUAUUGAGAGGGCAUUACAGUGCUAUGAGGGCAGGAAUUUUCGUUCAUUUUCUUCACUUAUAUUUUUUGCAACCAGAGUAGUGUGUCGAACACAGUAGGGGCUAGAUAAAUGUUGAAUUAAUGAUUGAUCAAUUGGUGGAUUAAAUUAGAGUAAAAGAUGAAGAAACAUUUCUUUUUAUUUAUUUAUUUAUUUUUAUUAUACUUUAAGUUUUAGGGUACAUGUGCGUAACAUGCAGGUUAGUUACAUAUGUAUACAUGUGCCAUGUUGGGUGAAGAAACAUUUCAACACAUGAAUUACAAGCAGAUUUUUACAAAAGAGCACACAUUUAAUACUAAAUUUGAAAAUUCACCAAACAUAGUAAUAACAUCAGUUUUUCCUUAGCUUAUUCGAUAAUACGAGAAAACUGUGUAGGGAAAGAACAACUUGAGUACAUAUAAAACCCACUGAAGAUGUCAAAAUGUAUCCAAAUUUAAAAGAGGCUCUUAAAUUUUAUCAAGCUAAGAGAAGUCUGGGACUAAGCAAGAAUUUAUUUGUAGCAAGUCACAAAAUAAAAAUAAAUUAUGUGGCCUAGACUGCAACAGUCAUAAAAUUGUGGGAAUUUUAAUGAAGUUCUUUCUGAAUUUAAAGAAAACCACAGAGGUUUCCUUAUCAUUAUGCAUGCCUUUUGCAUUUAUGAGUGAUAAUGUUUCAUGAGUAAGUAAAAAAGUUGUAAAAAUCCUAAAUACUGUAUGUCUUUAUAUGCUAUCACUCAGAAAUAUGCAAAAAGAUAAACACUUCCUCACAAUAUGUAAGCAGAACAAAGGCAUUAGAAGUAAGCUAUGCAAGUUGUAAAACAUGGGUUGACAUGUACUUAGUCUUAUUUUAUUGGUAUAAUUGAGACACAUCUGGAGAUUACUGAGUCUUGAAAUAUGCAGAUGACUGAUGAAUUAAGUGUUUGGCUGACAGAUUUCAAAUUUGAAAUUAUAAUUUCUUUAAAAUGCUUAUUUAAAAAAAGUCUUCUGUUGUGAUUAGAAUUCUUUUUCAAGGAUGGAAAUGUAAAUAUAUUAUGGAUCCUUUUCCUUGGCCUUCAACAGAG